rnacentral:rRNA from 1 species
UGCAGUCGUACANUUGUAUCUUUCACCGGAGCUUGCUCCACCGAAAGAAAAAGAGUGGCGAACGGGUGAGUAACACGUGGGUAACCUGCCCAUCAGAAGGGGAUAACACUUGGAAACAGGUGCUAAUACCGUAUAACACUAUUUUCCGCAUGGAAGAAAGUUGAAAGGCGCUUUUGCGUCACUGAUGGAUGGACCCGCGGUGCAUUAGCUAGUUGGUGAGGUAACGGCUCACCAAGGCAACGAUGCAUAGCCGACCUGAGAGGGUGAUCGGCCACACUGGGACUGAGACACGGCCCAGACUCCUACGGGAGGCAGCAGUAGGGAAUCUUCGGCAAUGGACGAAAGUCUGACCGAGCAACGCCGCGUGAGUGAAGAAGGUUUUCGGAUCGUAAAACUCUGUUGUUAGAGAAGAACAAGGAUGAGAGUAAAAUGUUCAUCCCUUGACGGUAUCUAACCAGAAAGCCACGGCUAACUACGUGCCAGCAGCCGCGGUAAUACGUAGGUGGCAAGCGUUGUCCGGAUUUAUUGGGCGUAAAGCGAGCGCAGGCGGUUUCUUAAGUCUGAUGUGAAAGCCCCCGGCUCAACCGGGGAGGGUCAUUGGAAACUGGGAGACUUGAGUGCAGAAGAGGAGAGUGGAAUUCCAUGUGUAGCGGUGAAAUGCGUAGAUAUAUGGGAGGAACACCAGUGGCGAAAGGCGGCUCUCUGGGUCUGUAACUGACGCUGAGGCUCGAAAGCGUGGGGAGC